AAAGGAAAAAAAACCAACAACAACCACCACCACCCAAAAAAACCAAAACCCCACGGCGGGGAGGGCCGGGCUGCGCCUAUGGAGCAGCAAAGCGGACACCCCCCCCGCCCCCCCGCAGCGCAGCCCAACUCCGGCCGGGCUCGGCUCCUCCUCGCAGCCCGCAGCGCCCCGGCCCCAUCGCCGCCGCCUCCUCUUCCUCCUCCCCCUCCCCCUCCUCCUCUGCCUCCUCCCCUCGCCCGGGGCACCGGCGGCGCUGCGGAGGGAUCGCUCCCGGUGCAGGGGUGGGGAGGGAGGAGGAGGAAGGCUCCGGCCCCGCUCGCCCGCAGCGCAACCGGUGCUGCCUCACUGCUGCCAAAUAGCUUCAAAUCCAGCUGUGGUGCUACUGCCCUCCCUGAGCAGGAUGGAGGCUCUGGGAUGGGUGUACUGAGAUGGAGGCACUGAGAUGGAGUCUUGCUACUCAGUGUGGACACCCCGUGGUCCCAAAGAGGGGAAAACUUAGCUUUGGGAGUGGGAUCAGUGCCAUGACCCCUAUGGCUUCCUUAGCACAGCAGCGUUGGCUCAACUCUGG